CACAGACACAAAACCAACAUAAAGAUCAGCCUCGUCCAUCUCGGUCCGAGCUCCAGCAUCCCGGUGGAAAAGAAAUGAAACGGCGACUGAGUGCGUGAGCUUCUUGAUGUUCCUCCUCAGAGGCAGCAGGCUGGCUGACAGGAGUGGCACCCUGUGUUGUCUUCUGCUGCAUUUGUCCAUCUGCUUGAAGACAGUACUUCAAGAUGUGCCGGAAUAGACUUGGCAAAGCAGACUGGGUUAACAUCAAGUGAC